rnacentral:rRNA from 1 species
UGGGGAAUAUUGCACAAUGGGCGCAAGCCUGAUGCAGCAACGCCGCGUGAACGAUGAAGGUCUUCGGAUCGUAAAGUUCUGUUGCAGGGGAAGAUAAUGACGGUACCCUGUGAGGAAGCCCCGGCUAAAUACGUGCCAGCAGCCGCGGUAAUACGUAGGGGGCUAGCGUUAUCCGGAUUUACUGGGCGUAAAGGGUGCGGAGGUGGUCUUUCAAGUCGGUGGUUAAAGGCUACGGCUCAACCGUAGUUAGCCUCCGAAACUGGAAGACUUGAGUGCAGGAGAUGAAAGUGGAAUUCCCAGUGUAGCGGUGAAAUGCCUAGAUAUUGGGAGGAACACCAGUAGCGAAGGCGGCUUUCUGGACUGCAACUGACACUGAGGCACGAAAGCGUGGGUAGCAAACAGG